rnacentral:rRNA from 1 species
GACGAACGCUGGCGGCGUGCCUAAUACAUGCAAGUUGAGCGGAAGUUGGAGAGCUUGCUCUUCAACUUUAGCGGCGGACGGGUGAGUAACACGUGGGCAACCUGCCCUGCAGAUCGGGAUAACUCCGGGAAACCGGUGCUAAUACCGAAUAGUUUUCGCCACCUCCUGGUGGCGUACGGAAAGACGGUUUCGGCUGUCACUGCAGGAUGGGCCCGCGGCGCAUUAGCUAGUUGGUGGGGUAACGGCCCACCAAGGCGACGAUGCGUAGCCGACCUGAGAGGGUGAUCGGCCACACUGGGACUGAGACACGGCCCAGACUCCUACGGGAGGCAGCAGUAGGGAAUCUUCCGCAAUGGACGAAAGUCUGACGGAGCAACGCCGCGUGAGUGACGAAGGUUUUCGGAUCGUAAAACUCUGUUGUGAGGGAAGAACAAGUACCAACUAACUACUGGUACCUUGACGGUACCUCACCAGAAAGCCACGGCUAACUACGUGCCAGCAGCCGCCGUAAAAC